CUUCAGCGACCCCAGCCGCAACGGACGGUCGGCGGGCCGGCCCUGGCCGUAGGUGGCCAGCAGCGCCUGCGCCUC
rnacentral:antisense_RNA from 1 species